rnacentral:rRNA from 1 species
AGCAGUGGGGAAUUUUGGACAAUGGGCGCAAGCCUGAUCCAGCAAUGCCGCGUGAGUGAAGAAGGCCUUCGGGUUGUAAAGCUCUUUUGUCAGGGAAGAAACGGUGAGGGCUAAUAUCUCUUGCUAAUGACGGUACCUGAAGAAUAAGCACCGGCUAACUACGUGCCAGCAGCCGCGGUAAUACGUAGGGUGCAAGCGUUAAUCGGAAUUACUGGGCGUAAAGCGUGCGCAGGCGGUUUUGUAAGUUUGUCGUGAAAGCCCCGGGCUCAACCUGGGAAUUGCGGUGAAGACUGCAAGGCUUGAAUCUGGCAGAGGGGGGUAGAAUUCCACGUGUAGCAGUGAAAUGCGUAGAGAUGUGGAGGAACACCGAUGGCGAAGGCAGCCCCCUGGGUCAAGAUUGACGCUCAUG